CCUACGGGAGGCAGCAGUGGGGAAUAUUGGGCAAUGGGCGAAAGCCUGACCCAGCAACGCCGCGUGAAGGAAGAAGGCUUUCGGGUUGGUAACUUCUUUUGACAGGGAAGAGCAGAAGACGGUACCUGUCGAAUAAGCCAUGGCUAACUACGUGCCAGCAGCCGCGGCAAUACGUAGGUGGCAAGCGGUGUCCGGAUUUACUGGGUGUAAAGGGCGUGUAGCCGGGCUGACAAGUCAGAUGUGAAAGCCGGGGGCUCAACCCCCGAUCGGCAGUUGAAACUGUUGGUCUUGAGUAUCGGAGGGGCAGGCGGAAUUCCUGGUGUAGCGGUGAAAUGCGUAGAUAUUAGGAGGAACACCCGUGGCGAAGGCGGCCUGCUGGACGACAACUGACGGUGAGGCGCGAAAGCGUGGGGAGCGAACAGGAUUAGAUACCCGAGUAGUC
rnacentral:rRNA from 1 species